GAUGAACGCUGGCGGCGUGCCUAAUACAUGCAAGUCGAGCGAACAGACGAGGAGCUUGCUCCUUUGACGUUAGCGGCGGACGGGUGAGUAACACGUAGGUAACCUACCUAUAAGACUGGGAUAACUUCGGGAAACCGGGGCUAAUACCGGAUAAUAUUUCGAACCGCAUGGUUCGAUAGUGAAAGAUGGCUUUGCUAUCACUUAUAGAUGGACCUGCGCCGUAUUAGCUAGUUGGUAAGGUAACGGCUUACCAAGGCAACGAUACGUAGCCGACCUGAGAGGGUGAUCGGCCACACUGGAACUGAGACACGGUCCAGACUCCUACGGGAGGCAGCAGUAGGGAAUCUUCCGCAAUGGGCGAAAGCCUGACGGAGCAACGCCGCGUGAGUGAUGAAGGUCUUCGGAUCGUAAAACUCUGUUAUUAGGGAAGAACAAACGUGUAAGUAACUGUGCACGUCCUGACGGUACCUAAUCAGAAAGCCACGGCUAACUACGUG
rnacentral:rRNA from 1 species